GAUUCCACAAGCGUUUUGCAU
rnacentral:piRNA from 1 species